AACCUGGUUGAUCCUGCCAGUAGUCAUAUGCUUGUCUCAAAGACUAAGCCAUGCACGUCUAAGUACAAACUAAAUGAUGGUGAAACUGCAAAUGGCUCAUUACAACGGUUAUGAUGUACCCGGGAGUUCCGAUGGAUAUUUCCAGUAACACUAGAACUAAUACAUGCUCCUGCGUUUAUUAGUUUCGCACAGUCCGUCGCUGAGUCAUGGUAAACAGUUGAUCGACUCGACGUCCCGGAACAGUUUCCGCCCCAUCAGCUUCGAUGGUUGGGUAUUGGCCUACCAUUGCAACAACGGGUAACGAGGAAUUAGGGUUUGAUUUCGGAGAGGGAGCCUGAGAAACGGCUACCACAUCUACGGAUGGCAGCAGGCGCGCAAAUUACCCAAUGCAGACACUGUGAGGUAGUGACGAGAAAUAAUUAAGCGGGACUUCUGUUUCCGCUAUUAUAAUGAGGAAUAACC
rnacentral:rRNA from 1 species